UACGGAGGGUGCAAGCGUUAAUCGGAAUAAUUGGGCGUAAAGAGCGCGUAGGUGGUUUACCAAGUGCGUUGUGAAAGACUCGGGCUUAACCUGGGGAUGUCAACGCAAACGGGUAGACUAGAGUGAAGUAGAGGGUCGUGGAAUUUCCGGUGUAGCGGUGAAAUGCGUAGAGAUCGGAAGGAACACCAGUGGCGAAGGCGACGACCUGGACUUUAACUGACACUGAGGUGCGAAAGCGUGGGGAGCAAACAGG
rnacentral:rRNA from 1 species